rnacentral:rRNA from 1 species
UACGUAGGCAGCGAGCGUUGUCCGGAUUCAUUGGGCGUAAAGCGCGCGCAGGCGGCUGGGCAAGUCGGCCGUGAAAUCUCCGGGCUUAACUCGGAGGGGUCGGGCGAGACUGCACAGCUCGAGGCGGGUAGAGGGCAGUGGAAUUCCGGGUGUAGUGGUGGAAUGCGUAGAGCUCCGGAGGAACACCAGUGGCGAAGGCGGCUGCCUGGGCCCGGCCUGACGCUGAGGCGCGAAAGCGUGGGGAGCGAUCCGG